UCAAAAAAGUUGGAGUUGUGUGUUCCCUUCAUUUUGACCUGAUGACUUGAAGUAUGACUCCAAAGAUUCAAAUCCCAGACGUAAGAAAAAGGAAAAGCCAGACAGAAGGGUUAAAAAGCCAUGUCUUGCAUCUAUCCGAACUUGUCUCGCUUCUUAGAGCCCCUCCAUCAUCAAGACGCUCAACAACAGUGGCUACGUCAACACAUCAUUUCCAGAAAGAGAGAAUAGGGAAAAGUUCAUCUACCUAGUGGGUUCAAAGUUCUUCAAAUCAAGUCCAAAACCAUUGAUAUUCUCCUAUUUUGUGAGAAUGAGAAUGGACUCCCGUUGGAGUAACGAGGGAUCACUAUUAAGGACGAUUAUACCUUCAGAGCUUUCAUUAACGGCUCCAUAGUACCUCUUUAUAAACUCAAACACAUUGUUAACAAAAAAAAGGAAUACCAACGGCGACUCUGCAGAUCCCUAACAUCUUGUCUCUAUUGAAAAGUAUCGCAUUGAUAAAGAAAAAUUUCCAAUAAAGGAGGCUAUCAAAAACUUAGAAGAAAAAUUUAAACACAUUGUUCUUCCCGAUGACAAAAAUAUGAAAUUGGAUUUUGCUAUUGAGCAAUGCUCGAAAUAAAUAUAAUAUAUUGUUGAAGUUGAAUUAAUUAAUUAUAUAAAAUACUAAUGUAUAUAUAUCCUC
rnacentral:lncRNA from 1 species